rnacentral:rRNA from 1 species
CUUUUCUUGAUUUAAAUAUGAAAUAUGACCUGCCCACUGAUGUUAAUUGAAGGGCCGCGGUAAUUUGACCGUGCAAAGGUAGCAUAAUCAUUAGUUUCUUAAUUAGAAGCUGGAAUGAAUGGUUGGACGAGAUACAUACUGUCUUGUAUUUAAAAAUGGAAUUUAAUUAUUAAGUAAUAAAGCUUAAAUUUUUUUAUGGGACGAGAAGACCCUAUAGAGUUUAAUAUUAAAAUUGAACAGCUUAGUUUGUUAUAUUUAUUGUUUUAUAAAGUAUUUUGUUGGGGUGACUGGAAGAUAAAUAAAACUCUUCUUAUUGUUUAAUAUUAAUUUAUAGUUAUGUGAUCCAUUAUUAAUGAUUAUAAGUUUAAAUUACCUUAGGGAUAACAGCGUAAUCUUUUUUGAGAGUUCAUAUCGACAAAAGGGGUUGCGA